rnacentral:rRNA from 1 species
UACGAAGGGGGCUAGCGCUGCUCGGAAUGACUGGGCGUAAAGGGCGCGUAGGCGGAUGGCUUUGUCGGGCGUGAAAUUCCAGGGCUUAACCUUGGGGCUGCGUUCGAGACGGGUUGUCUUGAGUGGGGAAGAGGGUCGUGGAAUUCCCAGUGUAGAGGUGAAAUUCGUAGAUAUUGGGAAGAACACCGGUGGCGAAGGCGGCUCACUGGCUCAUUACUGACGCUCAGGCGCGAUAGCGUGGGGAUCAAACAGG